GCCGGUCCUAUAUUUUUUAAAUUGAGGUGUGUAUGCUGCCGUAUUCGGCUUGUGUUAUUUAUACUGUAAUUGCUUUGUAUCGUUGUAUUUGUGCGCAUAUGAGCUAUUAUAUUGUAUAUGUUCAUUAGUAGUUUAUGGUAUUGUGUAUGAUACACAUGAAUGUGGGCUGUGUAUGAGGGCUGCUUGUGGACUUGUGUGUGAAUGGAUUUGUCACAUUGUGUAUUUGGUAGUGUGUGUAUGUGUGGGGCUGUUUGGGGUAUUGCAUGUGAGAGGCUGCAUGUGGGGUUGUGUGCAUGUAUGUGGAUUGUUAGUGGUGUUGCGUUUGUGGGGAUUAUGUGUUGUGUGUGUGUGGGCUGUUCAUAUUAUUUGUAUGAGGGGAGGGUUAUUCUGCAGUGUGGGUGGGUUCCCUGGGUUCCAGUGGGGACCAGGCUGGCCAGGUACAGGUCAAGGACAGGAGCUGCGAUAGCUGUCGAGGGCUGCUCUACUACAGUGUGGAUUCCCAUUCACAAGUGCUGGGAGGAAGUGAUCUGAGAUCACUUCCUCUAU